rnacentral:rRNA from 1 species
UACGUAGGGUGCGAGCGUUAAUCGGAAUUACUGGGCGUAAAGGGUGCGCAGGCGGCGUCGCAAGUCAGGCGUGAAAUCCCCGGGCUUAACCUGGGAACUGCACUUGAAACUACGAUGCUGGAGUAUGGCAGAGGGAGGUGGAAUUCCACGUGUAGCGGUGAAAUGCGUAGAGAUGUGGAGGAACACCGAUGGCGAAGGCAGCCUCCUGGGCCAAUACCGACGUUCAGGCACGAAAGCGUGGGGAGCAAACAGG